CAGGUGGUGACAGGCAAACUCUGAAUGAGACAGGCCAGUUGGAUGAAUGUCUGGCCCUGGGGCCUUGUUGAUCCCCGUCCUGCGG